rnacentral:lncRNA from 1 species
AUUCUUUCAGCCAAUGCAGAUACUAACAGCUCUGUAUGUCAGGAAGCUGAGAGUUCAAGAUCAAGGGAGCACAGGUGUGCCCAGAUCUAAACACUCUCAUCCCUCACAAAUGUGCCUGAAGACUUGACUCCCAGGUGAACGUCGAAGUCCAAAGUCAGGCCUUUUUCCACACGGAGUCCACUUCAGUGGCGAAACUUACUGAGGAAUGUCUCACUGGAUCCACAUCUAAGCUUUGAAUCCAUAGCCAUCACAAUUCAUACAAUGGUAUGCUGCCUUUCCUUCAAAAAGAACUUUGGG